UACGUAGGGUCCGAGCGUUGUCCGGAAUUACUGGGCGUAAAGAGCUCGUAGGUGGUUUGUCGCGUUGUUCGUGAAAACUCACAGCUCAACUGUGGGCGUGCGGGCGAUACGGGCAGACUAGAGUACUGCAGGGGAGACUGGAAUUCCUGGUGUAGCGGUGGAAUGCGCAGAUAUCAGGAGGAACACCGGUGGCGAAGGCGGGUCUCUGGGCCAUUACUGACGCUGAGGAGCGAAAGCGUGGGGAGCGAACAGG
rnacentral:rRNA from 1 species